UGCACGCUCCUUAGAUCCACCUUUGAAUAAUAAUAAGAGGUGAUUGAGUCAUAAGUGUGCUAUAUUAAGAUACCUCCUUGAUACAACUGUUCCAGUGAUGUUUUUUCUUAAUGAAGCAUCGUUAGUUGUUUCAAGGGGAACAC